ACACCAUCUUGUCCACUAACAACAUUUAAAUUGAUAUUAAUGAGAAAAUAUAUUUAAAUUUAUAAAAUUCGAUCGGAAAAAGACAGAUACGGUGAUUUGAAGGGAGGUGAUUUUGAUCAUAAUGGGAAGGACCCUUUAGCUAUGUUAAUGAAGAGGAAUGUGAAUAUAUUGCUUUGAGAAGAUACAUCUUUUUGCGAAGCUGAAAAAUGGAACCAGACAAUUUCAGUCCAAAUCAGUAUCCGUACAACACAGGCGGAUAUCCAUCUUCAAUGGGACCAAUAAGACCACCUGCUUUUGGACCUCCUUAU